rnacentral:rRNA from 1 species
UACAGAGGUGGCAAGCGUUGUUCGGAAUUACUGGGCGUAAAGCGUGCGCAGGCGGGCUUUUAAGCCAGACGUGAAAUCCCCGGGCUUAACCUGGGAAUGGCGUUUGGGACUGGAAGUCUGGAGUGCGGCAGAGGAGACUGGAAUUCCUGGUGUAGCAGUGAAAUGCGUAGAUAUCAGGAGGAACACCGAUGGCGAAGGCAGGUCUCUGGGCUGACACUGACGCUCAUGCACGAAAGCGUGGGGAGCAAACAGG